rnacentral:lncRNA from 1 species
UGGAAGUUUCCAGAGUGCUGUGAGGCUUUGAGGAAGGUAUUACUAAUCUCUCUUCUCUUUUACAUGUGAAGUUGGUGUAGACAUACUUCAUGAGUUGUUGUGAGAAUAUGUAGAUAUAAUUGUAUUAAAGUGCACCAGUUUAGUAGGUAUUUAUCCUGCAUCUUUUAGUAUGAGAGCUGUAGUUGGCACUGGGUAUACAGUGGCAAAUAAUAACAGUGCUCAUUUAUG